rnacentral:rRNA from 1 species
CCUACGGGUGGCAGCAGUGAGGAAUAUUGGUCAAUGGACGGAAGUCUGAACCAGCCAUGCCGCGUGCAGGAAGACGGCUCUAUGAGUUGUAAACUGCUUUUGUACAAGGGUAAACCUGAAUACGUGUAUUCUGCUGAACGUACUGUACGAAUAAGGAUCGGCUAACUCCGUGCCAGCAGCCGCGGUAAUACGGAGGAUCCAAGCGUUAUCCGGAUUUAUUGGGUUUAAGGGGGCGUAGGCGGAUUGGUAAGUUAGGGGGGAAAUGUCCGGGCUUAACCCGGGAACUGCCUCUAAUACUGUUAAUCUAGAGAGUAGGUGCGGUAGGCGGAAUGUAUGGUGUAGCGGUGAAAUGCUUAGAGAUCAUACAGAACACCGAUUGCGAAGGCAGCUUACCAAGCUAUAUCUGACGUUGAGGCACGAAAGCGUGGGGAGCAAACAGGAUUAGAUACCCGAGUAGUC